ACUCCUACGGGGGGCAGCAGGUGGGGAAUAUUGCACACUGGGCGAAAGCUGAUGCGAGCGACGCCGCGUGCGGGACUGACGGCCUUCGGGUUGUAAACCGCUUUCGCCAGGGUCGAAGCUUUGUGUGACGGUAGCCUGGNNGAGNAGCACCGGCUAACUACGUGCCAGCAGCCGCGGUAAUACGUAGGGUGCGAGCGUUGUCCGGAAUUAUUGGGCGUAAAGAGCUUGUAGGCGGUUUGUCGCGUCUGCUGUGAAAGCCCGGGGCUUAACUCCGGGUCUGCAGUGGGUACGGGCAGACUAGAGUGUGGUAGGGGAGACUGGAAUUCCUGGUGUAGCGGUGAAAUGCGNANAUAUCAGGAGGAACACCGNUGNNGNAGGCAGGUCUCUGGGCCAUAACUAGCGCUGAGAAGCGAAAGCAUGGGGGAGCGAACAGGAUUAGAUACCCUGGUAGUCCAUGCCGUAAACGUUGGGCGCUAGGUGUGGGGCUCAUUCCACGAGUUCCGUGCCGUAGCUAACGCAUUAAGCGCCCCGCCUGGGGAGUACGGCCGCAAGGCUAAAACUCAAAGGAAUUGACGGGGGCCCGCACAAGCGGCGGAGCAUGCGGAUUAAUUCGAUGCAACGCGAAGAACCUUACCAAGGCUUGACAUACACUGGAUCGCUGCAGAGAUGUGGUUUCCUUUUGGGCUGGUGUACAGGUGGUGCAUGGUUGUCGUCAGCUCGUGUCGUGAGAUGUUGGGUUAAGUCCCGCAACGAGCGCAACCCUCGUUCCAUGUUGCCAGCACGUGAUGGUGGGGACUCAUGGGAGACUGCCGGGGUCAACUCGGAGGAAGGUGGGGAUGACGUCAAAUCAUCAUGCCCCUUAUGUCUUGGGCNUCACGCAUGCUACAAUGGCCGGUACAGAGGGUUGCGAGACCGUGAGGUGGAGCGAAUCCCUUAAAACUGGUCUCAGUUCGGAUUGGGGUCUGCAACUCGACCCUAUGAAGUCGGAGUCGCUAGUAAGCGCAGAUCAG
rnacentral:rRNA from 1 species